rnacentral:rRNA from 1 species
GGGUACUCGAGCGGCGAACGGGUGAGUAACACGUGAGUAACCUGCCCCUGACUCUGGGAUAAGCCUGGGAAACUGGGUCUAAUACCGGAUACGACCAUUUCUCGCAUGGGAUGGUGGUGGAAAGUUUUUUCGGUUGGGGAUGGGCUCGCGGCCUAUCAGCUUGUUGGUGGGGUGAUGGCCUACCAAGGCGACGACGGGUAGCCGGCCUGAGAGGGCGACCGGCCACACUGGGACUGAGACACGGCCCACACUCCUACGGGAGGCAGCAGUGGGGAAUAUUGCGCAAUGGGCGGAAGCCUGACGCAGCGACGCCGCGUGGGGGAUGACGGCCUUCGGGUUGUAAACCUCUUUCAGCAGGGACGAAGUUGACGUGUACCUGUAGAAGAAGCGCCGGCUAACUACGUGCCAGCAGCCGCGGUAAUACGUAGGGCGCAAGCGUUGUCCGGAAUUAUUGGGCGUAAAGAGCUCGUAGGUGGCUUGUCGCGUCUGCCGUGAAAGCCCGUGGCUUAACUACGGGUCUGCGGUGGAUACGGGCAGGCUAGAGGCUGGUAGGGGCAAGCGGAAUUCCUGGUGUAGCGGUGAAAUGCGCAAAUAUCAGGAGGAACACCGGUGGCGAAGGCGGCUUGCUGGGCCAGUUCUGACGCUGAGGAGCG